AGAGGGUGAAACUCCCGUCCGCCUGGUAGAAUGAGUCUUUGUCAACGAGUCGGGGUUGUUUGGGAUUGCAGCUCUAAUUUGGUGGUAAAUUCCAUCUAAAGCUAAAUAUUGGGUGGGAGACCGAUAGCGUACAAGUACCGUGAGGGAAAGAUGCAAAGAACUUUGAAAAGAGAGUUAAAGAGUACCUGAAAUUAGCUGAAACGGAAGCGUAAGGAAACCAGUGUUUUAGUUGGUUUCAUAUUUCCUUGGGCCACUUGUGGUUUGGGCGCUGUGAGCUUGCGUGGGUUUGGGUUGGUUGAUCCCUUUGGAAGAGCGCAGUCAGAGUU
rnacentral:rRNA from 1 species